GCGUAAGCUCAUGACGAGCUGAGCAGCCAUGCCGCGUGUGUGAGAAGGUCUUCGGAUUGUAAAGCUCUUUUAGUUGGGAGGAAGGGCAUUGAACUAAUACGUUGCUGUUUUGACGUUACCGACAGAAUAAGCACCGGCUAACUUUGUGCCAGCAGCCGCGGAAAUAGCAAAUUGACCCCCCUCCCGGAGGGAGCUGCUCUGCGCGUGGUGGUGAGGGGUGGAGACUCCGCUGCUUUCCUCAGUUGCCGAUGUCUGCUCUGCUGUGUCUUCUCGUGGUGCUGGAAGACUCGAAGGCUUCGUCCCCC
rnacentral:rRNA from 1 species